rnacentral:rRNA from 1 species
AGGAUGAACGCUGGCGGACGUGCCUAAUACAUGCAAGUCGAACGCACAAGCGAAAGGUGCUUGCACCUUUCAAGUGAGUGGCGAACGGGUGAGUAACACGUGGACAACCUGCCUCAAGGCUGGGGAUAACAUUUGGAAACAGAUGCUAAUACCGAAUAAAACUUAGUGUCGCAUGACACAAAGUUAAAAGGCGCUUCGGCGUCACCUAGAGAUGGAUCCGCGGUGCAUUAGUUAGUUGGUGGGGUAAAGGCCUACCAAGACAAUGAUGCAUAGCCGAGUUGAGAGACUGAUCGGCCACAUUGGGACUGAGACACGGCCCAAACUCCUACGGGAGGCUGCAGUAGGGAAUCUUCCACAAUGGGCGAAAGCCUGAUGGAGCAACGCCGCGUGUGUGAUGAAGGCUUUCGGGUCGUAAAGCACUGUUGUAUGGGAAGAACAGCUAGAAUAGGAAAUGAUUUUAGUUUGACGGUACCAUACCAGAAAGGGACGGCUAAAUACGUG